rnacentral:rRNA from 1 species
GAUGAACGCUGGCGGCGUGCCUAAUACAUGCAAGUCGAGCGAACAGACGAGGAGCUUGCUCCUCUGACGUUAGCGGCGGACGGGUGAGUAACACGUGGAUAACCUACCUAUAAGACUGGGAUAACUUCGGGAAACCGGAGCUAAUACCGGAUAAUAUAUUGAACCGCAUGGUUCAAUAGUGAAAGACGGUUUUGCUGUCACUUAUAGAUGGAUCCGCGCCGCAUUAGCUAGUUGGUAAGGUAACGGCUUACCAAGGCAACGAUGCGUAGCCGACCGGAGGAGAGGAUCGGCCAAACUGGAACUGCGCACCGGUCCGGACUCCUACGGGAGGCAGCAGUAGGGAAUCUUCCGCAAUGGGCGAAAGCCUGACGGAGCAACGCCGCGUGAGUGAUGAAGGUCUUCGGAUCGUAAAACUCUGUUAUUAGGGAAGAACAAAUGUGUAAGUAACUAUGCACGUCUUGACGGUACCUAGUCAGAAAGCCACGGCUAACUACGUGCCAGCCGCCGCCGUAA